rnacentral:misc_RNA from 1 species
GAUGAAGAACGCAGCGAAAUGCGAUAAGUAAUGUGAAUUGCAGAAUUCAGUGAAUCAUCGAAUCUUUGAACGCACCUUGCGCUCCUUGGCAUUCCGAGGAGCAUGCCUGUUUGAGUGUCAUUAAAUUCUCAAGACCUGUCUGCUUUUUUGAUAGGUAUUGGAUUUUGGGGGUUGCAGGCUGUUUCAAAUAAUUAGCCUUGCUCUCCUUGAAUGUAUUAGUGGAGAAAAGCCAUUGAACUCCAUUGGUGUGAUAAAACCUAUCAAUGCCAGGAGCAAUAUCACUACUUCUCUCUGCUGUCUAACUGUGACUGUCUGUAUUAAUUAGUAUGGAUGGGGACAACUUGACCAACUUGACCUCAAAUCAGGUAGGACUACCCGCUGAACUUAAGCAUAUCAAUAAGCGGAGGA